rnacentral:snoRNA from 2 species
UUGGCCUCGAUCAAAGCUGAAGCUGUUGGUUUUAAGCAAACGCCUGCAGAAACGUCUUUCCGUGGCCGGUUGCCCAUUUCAGAACUUUGGAAACCCCAUGGUCAAUUCAUCAGAAAGAAACAUCG